rnacentral:rRNA from 1 species
GCAAAGGCAGAAGGGAGCUUGACUGCGAGACCUACAAGUCGAGCAGGGACGAAAGUCGGGCUUAGUGAUCCGGUGGUACCGCAUGGAAGGGCCAUCGCUCAACGGAUAAAAGCUACCCUGGGGAUAACAGGCUUAUCUCCCCCAAGAGUCCACAUCGACGGGGAGGUUUGGCACCUCGAUGUCGGCUCAUCGCAUCCUGGGGCUGAAGUAGGUCCCAAGGGUUGGGCUGUUCGCCCAUUAAAGCGGUACGCGAGCUGGGUUCAGAACGUCGUGAGACAGUUCGGUCCCUAUCUGUCGUGGGCGUAGGAAAUUUGAGAGGAGCUGUCCUUAGUACGAGAGGACCGGGAUGGACGUACCGCUGGUGUACCAGUUGUUCCGCCAGGAGCACCGCUGGGUAGCUAUGUACGGAAGGGAUAAGCGCUGAAAGCAUCUAAGCGUGAAGCCCCCCUCAAGAUGAGAUUUCCCAGUAUGUAAGACCCCUUGAAGACGACGAGGUAGAUAGGUUGGGGGUGGAAGUGCAGUAAUGCAUGGAGCUGACCAAUACUAAUCGGUCGAGGGCUUAUCCUAA